UACGUAGGGUGCGAGCGUUGCCCGGAUUUAUUGGGCGUAAAGGGCGCGUAGGCGGCUCUGCACGUCCGUUGUGAAAUCGCCCGGCUCAACUGGGCGGGGUCAGCGGAUACGGCGGAGCUUGAGCAAGCUAGGGGGCAAUGGAAUUCCCGGUGUAGUGGUGGAAUGCGUAGAUAUCGGUAGGAACACCAGUGGCGAAGGCGGUUUCCUGGAGCUAACUUGACGCUGAGACGCGAAAGCUGGGGGAGCAAACGGG
rnacentral:rRNA from 1 species